rnacentral:rRNA from 1 species
GCCUACGGGACGCAGCAGUGAGGAAUAUUGGUCAAUGGACGGAAGUCUGAACCAGCCAUGCCGCGUGCAGGAAGACGGCUCUAUGAGUUGUAAACUGCUUUUGUACAAGGGUAAACCUGAAUACGUGUAUUCAGCUGAAAGUACUGUACGAAUAAGGAUCGGCUAACUCCGUGCCAGCAGCCGCGGUAAUACGGAGGAUCCAAGCGUUAUCCGGAUUUAUUGGGUUUAAAGGGUGCGUAGGCGGAUUGAUAAGUUAGAGGUGAAAUGUCGGGGCUCAACCCCGAAACGGCCUCUAAUACUGUUGG